rnacentral:rRNA from 3 species
AAUCCAUAGGUUAAUGAGGCGAACCGGGGGAACUGAAACAUCUAAGUACCCCGAGGAAAAGAAAUCAACCGAGAUUCCCCCAGUAGCGGCGAGCGAACGGGGAGGAGCCCAGAGCCUGAAUCAGCAUGUGUGUUAGUGGAAGCGUCUGGAAAGGCGCGCGAUACAGGGUGACAGCCCCGUACACAAAAGCGCAUGUGCUGUGAGCUCGAUGAGUAGGGCGGGACACGUGGUAUCCUGUCUGAAUAUGGGGGGACCAUCCUCCAAGGCUAAAUACUCCUGACUGACCGAUAGUGAACCAGUACCGUGAGGGAAAGGCGAAAAGAACCCCGGCGAGGGGAGUGAAAAAGAACCUGAAACCGUGUACGUACAAGCAGUGGGAGCCCCACCACCAAAGCAUUUGCUGUACCGCGUUGACGGAGCGAAGCGACGUCAAACCGAUAAAACAGCAGU